rnacentral:lncRNA from 1 species
UUAAAUUGUAUUAAUUAUAUAUCAAAAGUAUUUAUGUCCAAAAUUGAUUGGACAUAGGACAUAAUAAUUAUAAAGAAAUCAACAAAAAGAUCAAUUUUAAAUCAAAUAUGAGAUGAGAAAUCGAGAAUAACACUACUACACAGUAAAAUCUUGACGACAAAAAAAAGAAGAAGAAGAAAUUGAGAAUAACAUUAUAGCACAGUAAAAUCUUGACGCCAAAAAAAGAAGAAGAAGAAAUUGGGGGUGGCCGAAAAACUUACACCAAAUCAAAUUCCAUACCACAUUUGAUGCUAGAAAAAGGGAACGAAGAGAUCUGUAAUGGAGAAAUUACCUUAGGCUUGAAGUGUUUACAUCAUAACACAGCAGAGAGAUAAAGAUACAUGAGAGGUCGAGGGUCGAACUUUGAAGCCAGCAGGGACGGAUAUUCUAAUUGAAGGUUGGCUGCCUUGAAAUUAUAUGGAAAAGCCUAACAGGAACCCACGUUUACCCACCGUUAGUUUAUAAAAUUGGGCCAAUUAUUUGGCCCGUUUCAACUUUUUUUUUUUUUUUUGACCUUUUUUUUUUAACUUGGGGUCUGGGCUGCUGCAGCCUAUUUACAAGGGAAAAAUACACAAUCCAUGUAUUAACUAUGCACAAUUCAAAAAUGAAGCGUUAAGUUUAAUUAUGC